rnacentral:tRNA from 1 species
GCCGCUCUAGCUCAUUGGUAGAGCACCUAUUUUACACACAGGUGGCGCGGGGUUCGAUUCCUCGGAGCGGUA